ACAGUUAAUCUCUUUUCAUUUGUAUUCUGGCUCCAGACCUGGAUUUUUCAGAUAAUCCAGGGCUUACCUACCAGAGCAGAAUCAGAUAUUUUGACUAGCUGGACCUUGUGUAUUGAUGGUAUAAUACAUGUCACAGCAGUCAACUGUUUAAAACAUAUAGGAAGUGGAUAAAAGAAGAAGUGUGUGCUGUGUAGGGAACUCCUGGUGUGAGAGCUAAGCUGACACAAAGACAGCAAUGUUAAAAGGUGUGUGUGUGUGUGUGUGUGUGUGUGUGUGUGUGUGUAUGUGUGUGAUGUCAGUAGUGAGAUAUCAUAGUCACACUGAUCAGGGUUUGAUAUCAGUGGUAUUCUCAGUCGGUUAUCUGGAUGUGAUAAUUAAGCUUGAGAGGAGUGCAUCUAUUAAGUUGCUGUGCAACCCUUCAUAUAUCACAGCAAAAAUCCAGAGAUAUCUACAUCAUGUAACAAAGCCCCAAAGCCACAUCUGUCACUGCCUGCUCUGUAUGGUCGUGGGGAGACUGGAGGACACCCUGGAUGAGGGGACAACCCAUCACAGGACACAAUUGCACACACAAAUACUCACACACUACGGACAAUUUGGAAAUGACGAGCAGCCUACAAUGCAUGUCUUUGGACUGGGGGAGGAAACCAGAGUACCUGGAGGAAACCCAGAAGCAUGAGGAGAACAUGCAAACACCCCGCACAGACUGGGUGGAAUUGGGAUAUGAACUAAGCCACCGUGCUUAUUUUAUUUAUUUAUAGUAUAAUAGAAAAUAAACUCUUUUAAGAUUAUUUCCUGACAUAUCCAUGUAGACCUUUCGUACUAGAAAUGUCUCAAAUAUAUUUUUGUUCUGCUAAUAAUCCAAUAUUUUUUUUAUUUAUACAAUAUUGCUGUCAAAUUCUGACUGAUUACUCAGAAGGUGUUGAUUCAUUUUCUAUAACAGCACAGCCUGUAAGGCAAAUUACAGGUUUAUAUUGAUGCACUCGUUCUAAUACAUUCUUGUUUCUAUAUUAGAUUUGUAACAGUCAGUACAUUUUCCAGGACAGAUCACUUCUUGUUUCUAGGUAAUGUGACAAGGAGCAUU